UACAGAGGGUGCUAGCGUUGUUCGGAAUUACUGGGCGUAAAGGGCGUGUAGGCGGUUUAUCAAGUCAGGCGUGAAAGCCUCAGGCUCAACCUGAGAAUUGCGCUUGAUACUGAUAGACUAGAGUACGAAAGAGGAAAGCAGAAUUCCUAGUGUAGAGGUGAAAUUCGUAGAUAUUAGGAGGAAUACCAGUGGCGAAGGCGGCUUUCUGGUUCGUAACUGACGCUGAGGCGCGAAAGCGUGGGGAGCAAACAGG
rnacentral:rRNA from 1 species